rnacentral:rRNA from 1 species
GCGGGUGAGUAAUGUCUGGGAAACUGCCUGAUGGAGGGGGAUAACUAUUGGAAACGAUAGCUAAUACCGCAUAACAAUGGAUGACACAUGUCAUUUAUUUGAAAGGUGCAAUUGCAUCACUACCAGAUGGACCUGCGUUGUAUUAGCUAGUUGGUGAGGUAACGGCUCACCAAGGCGACGAUACAUAGCCGACCUGAGAGGGUGAUCGGCCACACUGGGACUGAGACACGGCCCAGACUCCUACGGGAGGCAGCA